GUGGUGACAGGUCAACCAUGUGGCCCCAAAGUGGACAUAUGGUCUUUGGGAAUCGUGGGCAUCGAAAUGGUGGAACGAGAAGUUCCUUCCUGGAAUGCAACUCCUGUCUUGCCUCAACUCCUGAUAGCCACAGGAGGAAGACAAAAGCUGCAGCAGCCCAACCUAUUUUCAUCUUGCCUGCGUGACUUCCUGAGCUGCUGCCUGCAGAGAGAUGAGGCGCGGCGCUGGUCUGCCAAGGAGCUCCUGCAGCAUCCAUUUGUAACAUCAGCCGAGGCUGCAUCCACCCUGGCACCACUCAUCAUCUCAGUGAAGAGGAGGAUGGAGAAGCAAACAGUGCUAUAAUCACAUCAGGACCAUUUUCUCCAUAGCCAUCUUAGAGAGUAGGAUUGUAGAGUAGGAGUGUAGAGUAGGAUUUAGAGUAGGAUUUAGAGUAGGACUAUGUGGAGAAAAGAAAAAAGACUCUGCACAAUCCACUGUGAAUCAAGGAGAAGCCAUUUAUUGUGCUUCUAAACAUAGUUUAUAAUUAGUUCCUAUCCUAUAGCUUUCUGUAGUCAUGCAUUGUUUGGUUGCAUCUUUUUCUUAAUCCAAUUGGUAGAUGCUGUAAGGGUCAUUUUAUUUGUGUUGCUACCCCUUUGUCUGUCAGCAACUCUUCUGCUUCUUCUUUCUGCUCACAACAUCACCUUUUUAUCCACAACGUUGAAUGCAGCUUUAUUAAAAACCUGACUUAGUCCUAGAAGGUUAGUUAGUUUAGUUAGCUCCAGAAGGUUAGGCUGGUUCAUUUAGUGCCUGUCCAUUUUUCUGUAAAUACCACCCUAGAGGAUUAUAGAGUAGGAUUGUAAAUAAAUAAAGUUUCUGAAACUUU